AACGAACGCUGGCGGCAGGCUUAACACAUGCAAGUCGAGCGCCCCGCAAGGGGAGCGGCAGACGGGUGAGUAACGCGUGGGAAUCUACCGAGCCCUAAGGAAUAGCUCCGGGAAACUGGAAUUAAUACCUUAUACGCCCUUCGGGGGAAAGAUUUAUCGGGGUUUGAUGAGCCCGCGUUGGAUUAGCUAGUUGGUGGGGUAAAGGCCUACCAAGGCGACGAUCCAUAGCUGGUCUGAGAGGAUGAUCAGCCUCAUUGGGACUGAGACACGGCCCAAACUCCUACGGGAGGCAGCAAUGGGGAAUCUUGCGCAAUGGGCGAAAGCCUGACGCAGCCAUGCCGCGUGUAUGAUGAAGGUCUUAGGAUUGUAAAAUACUUUCACCGGUGAAGAUAAUGACUGUAGCCGGAGAAGAAGCCCCGGCUAACUUCGUGCCAGCCGCCGCCGUAAAAC
rnacentral:rRNA from 1 species